AGUCACUCAGUCUUGCCAGCUUUUACGUGCCUGUAUUUCUAGACGUGUCGCUGACCCGUGGUGACAGCCGGGUCACGGAGAUGCCACGCUAAAGGUCACAAAAACGAUCGGCGUCCAACAAGCGACUCCCGUGUUCUUAUCUAUCAGUGGGAGGGAUAAACGAAGUAAUCAGCGUUUAAAGAGACAGCGAGUGCGGGCUGCGUCCAUCAUGAAAGUUUCACGCAAGCCAGUUGUUUAAUUGAAAACUGCCAUUGGUUUCUUGAAGUCCGAUAUCUGUGGCCGCUGGUUCUCGUAAUCACCGCGUUAAACUCCAAUUGUCACUUUUAAUUGAACUCUUCUCUAAGCUAAUGACUGCUAACGUCUGUCACCCGCACUUAAGGCGGACGUCAGCUCCCCCCCGCAAGUUUGAGGGCUGAACUUAUCUGAAGAUCCAUGAGCCCGUCCAAAAAAAAAAAAAAAAUCAGAGUUCCAGAGUGGGCCAGAAGCCCCUUGCCCUUUGCUCAAAGCCUAGUUUGAACCCAGCAGCCUCAGCCGUGUAAUGUCACGCGGGCUCACAUUACACACCUCGUAUAUUUAGCAGUGCACUUCAAAUGCUAAGGGUCAACCGGCCCGUUUAAAUAUAGACGUGUCCGGCCGUCGUGCCCAGCACCUUGUGCCCGCCCCCCCUUUAAAAGAGCAGCACCCGCCCAGCUUGCCUCGUCUCCAGCACACAGCUCACUCGGGAUAUCCGCCGCUCGUCCGCCUCCUACACACUCAGCGUCAAAAUGACAU